CCGACCUUAGCUCAGUUGGAAGAGCGCGAGACUGUAAUGGAUAAAACAAUUCAUCUUGAGGUCGCCUGUUCGAGCCAGGCAGGUCGGA